rnacentral:rRNA from 1 species
CGCUGGCGGCGUACUUAACACAUGCAAGUCGUACGAGGAUCGUCGGUGUAGCAAUACAUCGGCGGUUCGAGUGGCGCACGGGUGAGUAACACGUGGGUAACCCACCCUUGAGACCGGGAUACCCUCUCGAAAGGGAGGCUAAUACUGGAUACGUUCCCCGGGACGCAAGAUCUGGGGAGGAAAGGUGGCGAAAGCUGCCGCUCUUGGAGGGGCUCGCGGCCUAUCAGCUAGUUGGUGAGGUAACGGCUCACCAAGGCUAUGACGGGUAGCUGGUCUGAGAGGACGACCAGCCACACAGGAACUGAGACACGGUCCCGACUCCUACGGGAGGCAGCAGUGGGGAAUUUUCCGCAAUGGGCGAAAGCCUGACGGAGUGACGCCGCGUGGGGGACGAAGGCCUUCGGGUCGUAAACCCCUGUCAGAGGGAAAGAAGGGUGUCGGCGUGAAUAGCGUCGGCAUCUGACGGUACCUUCAGAGGAAGCCCCGGCCAACUCUGUGCCAGCAGCCGCGGUAAGACAGAGGGGGCAAGCGUUGCUCGGAAUCACUGGGCGUAAAGGGCGCGUAGGCGGGAUGGCAAGUCGGUCGUGAAAUCCUUCGGCUCAACC